UUUUAAAACUGAUGCAUACUUCUGAUAUUUUACAGAUAUCUGAUAUUUCACCAGACGAGUGCACUUAUUGACAUCCACUUCACUGUCAGUCCAAAGCCUUUACGUUAAUGUGUAUUAAGGGUGCACAGUGGCAGUUGCAGUUAGAUUGGAGUUACCGAAACAUCCAAAACAUUCACACUUUGGACAUUUCUACCAUCAUUCAUGCUGCAGAUGAAGCUCUCAUCCCAGGAUGCAUUGAGGAGACAAUGCCCAUGAUAGACCAGGGGACAUCAGGAUCAUCAAUGAGGGCCAGAUAAUCUUACAGUGAUUUGGAUAACUUGGCAUUAGCUACUGCAAAAUUCAACUGCCCAUC